rnacentral:miRNA from 1 species
GUCCAGGGUAGCGUCCUGCAUUGCCUGCUCCGUUUGGGAUUGCCGCCCCCUUGCUCCAGUGGUGCAGGCUGAAGAAAUGCAAACAAAGUACAGCAUUAGCCUGAGC